CUACGGGGCGCUGCAGUGGGGAAUAUUGCACAAUGGAGGAAACUCUGAUGCAGCAACGCCGCGUGGAGGAUGACACUUUUCGGAGCGUAAACUCCUUUUAUAUAGGAAGAAGAUGACGGUACUAUAUGAAUAAGCGCCGGCUAACUCCGUGCCAGCAGCCGCGGUAAUACGGAGGGCGCAAGCGUUACUCGGAAUCACUGGGCGUAAAGAGCGUGUAGGCUGAUUAAAAAGUCAGAAGUGAAAUCCUAUAGCUUAACUAUAGAACUGCUUCUGAAACUCUUAAUCUAGAAUAUGGGAGAGGUAGAUGGAAUUUCUGGUGUAGGGGUAAAAUCCGUAGAGAUCAGAAGGAAUACCGAUUGCGAGGCGAUCUACUAGAACAUUAUUGACGCUGAGACGCGAAAGCGUGGGGAGCAAACAGGAUUAGAUACCCUAGUAGUC
rnacentral:rRNA from 1 species